GGAACCAUAUGAAACUCCUACAUCAAUUUUAUGUUUUGGCUACCUAGUGGAGAGAUCAUGCAGAUGCCCAGCUGGACUGGAUUAUGAUGUUAAAAUAUAUGUUUUUAUGCAAAUAUUAUGCAAAAAUUGUUUCUGUGAUAGGAAAAAAAUGACCAGGUAUGAACACAUCCACAAUUCAACUGUAUUAAAGAUAGUAUUUCAGGAUUUCAUCAUUUUUGGAAGAUGGGGUUGCAAAACAAUUCUCCACAAGGGUUGCCAGUCCACCGACGCGCAUCAGAGGUUCAAUGCCAAAGUAAAGCGAAUCUCUGAGCUUAAGUGU